CAUGUUGGAUACUGAUAACACACUCUGGAAGGAAGAAGAAGUACACCUGACAAUCUGUACAUUUUCAAUACGAUUUAUCCUCCAUUUGCCAGUUGCCUCAUUUUAUUAUCGUCAGUGGUGUCAGUCGUUCUCUGCAAGCCCCGGUAGGUGUUUCCUCUCAGAUGGAAAAGGGGAAUUCCUUGCUUUGCGUUACAUAAUUUUUAUGUAGGGUAUAAGGCCUGAAUCCAACCACUGCAUAGUGACCGGUGUGUUGGCUUAGUUGGUAGAGCGUCCGUCUCACAACCGGGAGUUCGAGAGUUCUAGCCCACGUCAGAUCAAAAGAAGUUAUAAGAUGGGAGUUGCUUCUACCCUGUUUGGUGUUCAACGUUCAUAUGUGCAUUGACGUCACAAUAAGUGAACAGGGCUACUAUUGCAGUUGAGUACUGUCUCGUCAAGUAGUAUUGGAGCAUAUGGAAGAAACUCCUACCAGUCCUCAUCGCCCAGGGUCGACGCCAGUGGGGACCCCCUUUACGGAUCAAUGUACACAUGUGGAAGGAAAGACCUGAGGUGAGAUAUAGAUGUUGUAUCAACAUAAUGCCCUUGGUUUACGUUUUGAAUGAUAUUGUAGAUUAGAUUUCAAACAGGGGGCGUUUCACAAAGAUUUAUGCGUGACUUAAAUUCCCUGUUCGUGCGGUAUAAAGGCAUCAGUGCAUUAGUCAAAUCAGGGAGUUGUGAGGAACUCUGGUCAAAUCAUGCCAUGAGAACGCUCACUACUGCGUGACAAUCGAAAAAAAAAUGCCCGUUGCACAACAUGUACACGUCUGCCCCCCCCCCCAGUUUUGUGUUCUGUUUAGAACAAAUACCACCAAAUUUGGCAGGACACCAGUGGACCCUUUAUUCUCAAUUU